UUUUCACGUUUUACUCUUUUGGAACAUCAUUAAGGACGUCCGUUUUCGAAAAUGUCGGAUGCGGAAGGAGAUGAUGUUCCCGUUGUAUCGGGAGGAUCUAUGGAUGUUUUCACAGCAGUCCAAGAAGUUCUGAAGACAGCUUUGAUUCACGAUGGUCUAGCUAAAGGACUUCACGAAUGUGCAAAAGCCCUUGACAAGCGUCAAGCUCAUUUGUGCAUUCUUGCCAACAACUGUGACGAACCAAUGUACGUCAAACUGGUAGAAGCUCUCUGUGCUGAACAUGGAAUUAACCUUAUGAAGUCUAAAUACAGCAUAAACAUGAGAGAAUGAUGAUUUGACCAUGCUCCCUCUUCCUAUUUAUACAUGAGGAUAGAUUGGUCUCCACUGAUGUUUCUCUUGCACGUGUGUACUACUUGAAUGUUGAUGACAACAAGAAACUAGGAGAGUGGGCUGGUCUGUGCAAAAUUGACAAGGAAGGCAAAGCCAGAAAAGUUGUAGGAUGCAGCUGUGUUGUUGUCAAAGAUUACGGAAAGGAGUCUCAGGCCCUGGAUGUUCUCAAUGACUACUUCAGGUCCAAGAAAUAAACGCUGUUGGAAUGUAAUAAACGAAAAAAAAUACAAAAGUAAAAAAAGGAAAAAUU
rnacentral:misc_RNA from 1 species